rnacentral:rRNA from 1 species
AAAGCGCCAAGGAGCAGGUAUCAGGCACAACCCAUUAGCCCAAAACACCUUGCUACGCCACACCCACACGGGCACCCAGCAGUGAUAAAUAUUAAGCAAUGAGUAAAAGCUAACUAAAGCUCGACUUAGUUAUGAUUAUUGGGGCCGGUAAACCUCGUGCCAGCCACCGCGGUUAUACGAGGGGCCCAAAACAACAGACACCGGCGUAAAUUGUGACUAGAGCACCUACUUACAUCAUUGGAAAAUAAACAAAAACUCAAUCGUAAAACCUGAGACAAAAGAAACACACUUUUCCAACUACAAAGAAGCUUGAACCCACGAAGACUAAGAAACAAACUAGGAUUAGAUACCCUACUAUGCUUAGUUGUUAAUAUGAUACUAAAAACACCAGUAUCCGCCAGAAAAUUACACGCGAAAAGCUUAAAACUCAAAGGACUUGGCGGUGCUCCGUAUUCGCCUUAGAGGAGCCUGUCCUAUAAUCGAUAACCCACGCUUUACCUUACCAUCUUUUGUCAAAACAGCCUAUAUACCGCCGUCGCAAACUUACCCCAUAAGGGCAUAACAGUGAGUAAAACAGUAAGACACUAACACGUCAGGUCAAGGUGUAGCUAAUAAGAUGGAAGAGAUGGGCUACAUUUUCUAAAACAGAAUACACGGCAAAGAGCAUUGAAAUACGCUCUAAAAGGUGGAUUUAAUAGUAAAAUAGAAGAGAAGACCUAUCUAAAAA